AGUCAUGCUUGCUACCACAAGACCAGCUCUCCUCUCCUGCAUGUUUUACCACUGUCUAGAAAAUCUCCUGGUUGCAGAUAUCUAAAAGACCUAGGAUAGCAUUGGAUUAAGCCAGGGGAGGCUCCUCACUUAGGGCAGAGUGGGCGGAGCCCACCCAAAAAUUUGCCCAAGUCAGCAGCUGCUUGCUUCAUUGACUCUGCCUCCCAGUCUGUGCUGCCCUGUUAUAAGAAUAUGAAUAGAACAAAUAUUUAUAUACCGCUUUCAACAAAUGUUCCCAAAGCAGUUUACAUAGAUAUAAAUAAAUUAAUAAAAUGGCUCCCUGUCCCCAAAGGGCUCGCAAUCGAAAACAGAAACAUAAGAUAGACACCAGCAACAGCCACUGGUGGGAUGCUGUGCUGGGCCAGUUGCUCUCCCCCUGCUCAGUAAAGAAAAUCAUCACUUUUAAAAGGUGCCUCUUCUUCAAUUAGCAGGGAUUCCCUACUUGCAGCCUGCCUGCUGCAAUGUUUUCACAGAGUGGGUGUCGAUAGCACUGUACUGGAACACCAUAUGUUUCAUUGGACUCAUUUAAAUAUUCACAAGGCAACAGCCAAUUGAAAGUCUGGCCUUUGUUUUCAAACGGUGGGUGGAGCUGGGAACAAACUGUCAGCCAAUCGUAUGUCAUCAUUUUGACUGGUGGCUCUGGCAGCCAAUCAGAGUGGUUAGAGGGGGGAAGGUCUUUGCUAUUGAGAUGCAAGGCAAAAAGAGAGUGAAUCGCCAUUUUGGUUGAGCAGUGCUAGUAGGAGCUGCUCUCUGCUCAAAGAGAAUUGUUUAUUGAUUUAUUUAUCUAUUUAUCUAUCUAUUUAUUUGAUUUCUAUACUGCCCUUCCAAAAAUGGCUUUCGAGUGUUUGUGGGGGUACUUUAUUGAUUACUUUGAAUCUUUAUUUAUUACCAUUUUGGAAUUUGCAAUCUUUAAUAUUGGACUCCUUAGUGGUGGCAGGAAGGGUUUUAGCAAUGCCUCACUUGCAGCUCCACGCACUAUCGUUGGCACCACCACUUUGGCUCUACCCUUCACCUGCCCUGCCCGGCACCCACCCAGUCCCAGGAAUCAUCAGCCGCCACUGGACUAUGCAGGAUGAAUUUGCUACAACCAAGAGAGGAGCAGUAAAUUGGGAUUUAUUAUAACUUUUAUCAUUCCUAGCAGUCCUUCCAGCAGACAGUCCAGUCCUUGAACUGUGCCUGACUUUCCUAGAACCACAGAUUCCACAACUUCAUAUUUGGGAACUAACAUUUACAGCCUCUUGUCAGGCUGGUAUGAAAGAGAAAGGUCACCUCCCUUGGCUCUCAAGACGAUACUGCACACAUAUGGAAGCUGAAUAAUCUCUCUUUUCAGUAGCAAGAGGAAUUCCUUACCCUGAUGUUUUUGAUCAAUUAAGUCGACUGAGUAUUGGAACCACAAUGCAAAAUUGGCUUCCUUUUAAACAUUGUAUGUUUCAGGUUAUUUCUCCUUUGUGGUUUCCUACGCGUGCACGCACACACACACCUGCAGAAACAUGGAAGCAAUUUAUCUGAGACAAGAUCCCACAGAGCUGAAGUAUGAGUAUGAACAUCAUAUCCACACAGAUAGGUCCGAUCACAAGGAUAAAUUCCUGCAGCAACCCUAUAACAAACUAGAUUCUUUUCUGAGGAAUAGGUACCAAGCAAAAAAGGAGCCAAAGUCAGAAGACUAUUGCAUGAUGAUGUCUUUGAACUGUGAUAUGUAGUUGCAGGAGGUUAAACUGAGUUUGAGCAGAAGAGCCAUGGUGUAGCAAAUGCAAGUACUGGCCUCAUUCAGACGUAGCAGGAAACGAGUCGAAGAGACCAGAGGUUGCCAAACCUGAGUGUCUGGAUGUGUGAAACUCUGAUCCCGUAUGGAAAGCAACCCAAGGCUUUGCAUGCCAAACUCCAAUUUGAAACCUCAGGUUAUAGUGAGUUUUGCCACUCGUACCUAAGGUUCCCAGCUGCCUGAAGUAUGUCUGAAUGCAGAACUGCAGGCUGGGCUAGCUGAAACCGGAGUUCAGGGAAGAAACUCCUCCCUUUCUCCAGCUAUGAUUGGCUGUCCGGGCUAUCUUUCAUGCACACAGCCAGUCCCCCCACUUCCUCUCUUCAGUCUCCGUGACUGCAGAGAACCUCGUCCAUUUCGUCUGAAUACAGACACGAGAGUGGGGUGGGGUGGAGAGCAGACCAAACCCACGGUUCCACAUUACGUGUGAAUGCAGCCACUGUUUGUUUUGCAGAAGUCUCAUCCCAGGAGGCAGGAAAAAUCCCAGGCAGCAAGCACUGGAUACAAUCAGGGAGAAUCCUUGCUGCCCUGAUGAAGAGCUAUUUUUGUCCUGCAAAGACCGAGUUUGUCAUAAUACAUCAUAAAUUACUGAUAUGUUAUCAUCAGGAAGCAUUUGCAAAAGGAUGUGAAUGCAAAAAGUAUUCAUUUUGCUUCCAAUCAAAUCCAAUUAACAGCCACCCAGCUGCCCACCACCCAUGUUUUCUGCUAUUUGAGCUAUGUUGUCAGAUAGCUUGAUUUUAAAGAUAUUGACAUGCAUACCAGCCACAUCUCGGAAUUCAAAAAUGUGAGUCACCAAGUGCCUUCCUCCAAGGCUCAUUGAGAAGAUGACCUCAAUUCUAUAUUAAGCAUGUUAUCCACCCUUUCCCCAUGAUGGAAUGGAAAGAAGAGCCACACAGCCAAUUCACAAACUCACAAUUCUGUUUCCAUCGUGUACAGUUGACAUUGACAUCCUUUGGACACCGUUCUUCAAAGGGACUCAAAGCGCCACCCUGAGAGAUACUCAUAAGCAUGAGAUCCAGGAUGAAUUACCAAGGGAAUGCAGACAGCCUUCUUCAGGACACUGUAUUCAUGCACCUACAUUUGCAGACAAAGUGACAGAAAAUAAAACAGUAAUGCUAGGAAGAUAUCGGGGAGGGGGGUGGGGACUCUAAAUCCACCUGAAUUUCACCGAGCCUCCUCUGACUGAGAGUUUGGCUGGAGUCAAACAUGUCUGAACAUUUUCUGUGUAGCACUUGUACCAUACAUGCAGGUUAUGCUUUGAAAGAAUUGGUGUACUAGUUCAAAAUUCAUAAAGGGUACAGAAAACCAUUGCAGAGUCUGUUCUGUCUUAACAGACAGUGGAGGUUUAAUAGGCACUUUUCUUGGUUACAGCUUGGUAAGGGUAGAGGUUAGUACAAAUCAUGCCAGUUCGCACACCUCGGAGACAGGAACAGGAAAAAGAGUAACAGGAACAUCCAGAAACUCCAACCAACAAGAGAACAAAGGGGAACUCCUUAUUUCCCUUCAUUAUAACUCCUUGCUACAGUGUCCUAUCUGGCCUUAUAUCAGAUUACACCCAAACUAUACAAGAUGCUGUAAGCGGUAGCUGCUGCAUAUCCCCAUAUAGACCACCUCUAUGCACAUUAAAGCGCUACGCAAGCUACCUCAUUUAUUUAUUUAUUUAUUUAUUUAUCAAAUUUAUACCCUGCCCAAACUUACGUCUCUGCGCGGCUAACAACAAUUAAAACACAUAUAAAAUUUAAAGCAGUUCAACAUAUAACAACACAUCUAAAAGUUAAAACAAUACAAUAAUUUAAAAACCAUAAAAUUAAACAAACAGUAUUUUUAAAAAAAACAACACAGAAAGCUUGGGUUAAAAAAAGGGGUUUUCAAAUGUUUUUUAAAAAUUGCCAGAGAUGGGGAGGAUCGUAUCUCAGCAGGGAGCGCAUUCCACAAUCUUGGGGCAGCAACUGAGAAGGCCCGUCUCUGUGUGACCACCAAACGAGUUGGCGGUAACUGGAGACGGACCUCCUCAGAUGACCUCAAUGGGCGGUGGGGCUUGUAAUGAAGACGACGCUCUCUUAGAUACCCAGGGCCUAAGCCGUUUAGGGCUUUAUAAGUUAUAACUAGCACUUUGUAUUUUGCCUGGAAACCUGUCGGCAGCCAGUGUAACUCCAUCAGCAAAGGAGUAAUGUGGUCUCUCCAAGAUGACCCAGAGUCCAACCUGGCUGCCGCAUUCUGAACCAACUGAAGCUUCUGGACUACAUACAAAGCCAACUCCACAUAGAGCAUAGGAGUGUGCACGGUUUUGG